UACGUAGGGGCCGAGCGUUGUCCGGAGUUAUUGGGCGUAAAGGGCGCGCAGGCGGCUACGCACGUCCGUUGUGAAAUCGCUCGGCUCAACUGGGCGGGGUCAGCGGAUACGGCGUAGCUGGAGCAAGCUAGGGGGCAAUGGAAUUCCCGGUGUAGUGGUGGAAUGCGUAGAUAUCGGGAGGAACACCAGUGGCGAAGGCGGUUGCCUGGAGCUUUGCUGACGCUGAGGCGCGAAAGCGUGGGGAGCGAUCCGG
rnacentral:rRNA from 1 species